AGAGUUUGAUCCUGGCUCAGAUUGAACGCUGGCGGCAUGCUUUACACAUGCAAGUCGAACGGCAGCACGGGCUUCGGCCUGGUGGCGAGUGGCGAACGGGUGAGUAAUGCAUCGGAACGUGCCCAUGUUGUGGGGGAUAACUACGCGAAAGCGUGGCUAAUACCGCAUACGCCCUGAGGGGGAAAGCGGGGGAUUCUUCGGAACUUGCGCUAAAUGAUGAGCCUAAGUCGGAUUAGCUAGUUGGUGGGGUAAAGGCCUACCAAGGCGACGAUCUGUAGCGGGUCUGAGAGGAUGAUCCGCCACACUGGGACUGAGACACGGCCCAGACUCCUACGGGAGGCAGCAGUGGGGAAUAUUGCGCAAUGGGGGCAACCCUGACGCAGCGACGCCGCGUGAGUGAGGAAGGCCUUCGGGUCGUAAAGCUCUGUCAAAGGGGAAGAAGUGCAUGAUGGUUAAUAUCUGUCGUGUUUGACGGUACCCUUAAAGGAAGCACCGGCUAACUCCGUGCCAGCAGCCGCGGUAAUA
rnacentral:rRNA from 1 species